GUUCCUGUAGUUGAAUUUUUAUAACGGUGGUUUUUCAGACCACAAGUCCUGGUGAGAGGCCAGGUGGGAACU
rnacentral:tRNA from 1 species